CCAGAGGCAACAUGAAGACAGCCACUGUGUGGCUCCUGGUGGCUUUGAUCACCACGAACAUGAAUAUUGCCUGUGCUCUGUCUUCUAAAGAUGACUUAGAGCCAUGUAGAAGAUGGAUGCAAUCUUCAUAAGCAUGAUUAAUGGCCAGCCCAAGAAGAUUUCUUCUGAAUCCACAGAGCCCAUGCUUGGCUACUUCCUUGUCCCAGAAUAGCAUCCUUAGAAGACAAAUAUAUAAUGUGGUGACAAUAUACCCAUGUAUUUGUGUCCAAAAUAAACUAUCCUCAGCAUCAUU